GACCGAUAGUGAACCAGUACCGUGAGGGAAAGGCGAAAAGAACCCCGGCGAGGGGAGUGAAAAAGAACCUGAAACCGUGUACGUACAAGCAGUGGGAGCACCCUUUGGGGUGUGACUGCGUACCUUUUGUAUAAUGGGUCAGCGACUUAUAUUCUGUAGCAAGGUUAACCGUAUAGGGGAGCCGGAGGGAAACCGAGUCUUAAUUGGGCGUUAAGUUGCAGGGUAUAGACCCGAAACCCGGUGAUCUAGCCAUGGGCAGGUUGAAGGUUGGGUAACACUAACUGGAGGACCGAACCGACUAAUGUUGAAAAAUUAGCGGAUGACCUGUGGCUGGGGGUGAAAGGCCAAUCAAACCGGGAGAUAGCUGGUUCUCCCCGAAAGCUAUUUAGGUAGCGCCUCGUGAAUUCAUCUCCGGGGGUAGAGCACUGUUUCGGCUAGGGGGCCAUCCCGGCUUACCAACCCGAUGCAAACUGCGAAUACCGGAGAAUGUUAUCACGGGAGACACACGGCGGGUGCUAACGUCCGUCGUGAAGAGGGAAACAACCCAGACCGCCAGCUAAGGUCCCAAAGUCAUGGUUAAGUGGGAAACGAUGUGGGAAGGCCCAGACAGCCAGGAUGUUGGCUUAGAAGCAGCCAUCAUUUAAAGAAAGCGUAAUAGCUCACUGGUCGAGUCGGCCUGCGCGGAAGAUGUAACGGGGCUAAACCAU
rnacentral:rRNA from 1 species